rnacentral:rRNA from 1 species
CACGUAGGGUGCGAGCGUUGUCCGGAAUUAUUGGGCGUAAAGAGCUCGUAGGCGGUGUGUCGCGUCGGCCGUGAAAACCUGCAGCUCAACUGUGGGCUUGCGGUCGAUACGGGCAUCACUGGAGUUCGGCAGGGGAGACUGGAAUUCCUGGUGUAGCGGUGAAAUGCGCAGAUAUCAGGAAGAACACCAAUGGCGAAAGCAGCUCUCUGGGACGGUACUGACGCUGAGACGCGAAAGCGUGGGGAGCGAACAGG